UACGGAGGGAGCUAGCGUUGUUCGGAAUUACUGGGCGUAAAGCGCACGUAGGCGGCUAUUCAAGUCGGGGGUGAAAGCCCGGGGCUCAACCCCGGAACUGCCCUCGAAACUAGAUAGCUAGAAUCUUGGAGAGGCGAGUGGAAUUCCGAGUGUAGAGGUGAAAUUCGUAGAUAUUCGGAAGAACACCAGUGGCGAAGGCGACUCGCUGGACAAGUAUUGACACUGAGGUGCGAAAGCGUGGGGAGCAAACAGG
rnacentral:rRNA from 1 species